rnacentral:tRNA from 1 species
GGCCCCAUCGUCUAAUGGUUAGGACGUCACCCUUUCACGGUGAAAAUACGAGUUCGAAUCUCGUUGGGGUCACCA